AGACGCAGCUGCGUGGAUCGCCUUCUCCACCCCACAUACUGAAGCCAGAAUAAGCCACGACUUCGUGUGCUCCACGCGAGGGCCGCCUGACGCCAGAGUUUCUCCCGCAUCUGCCAUCAGAGGACCGUCGCCCUCAGGAGCCCGAGCUCCCGCGGUACUCUGGGAAGGCUUCAGAGCAGUAGUGCAUAGUGUAUGGAUACUACCCGCCCCCGAGCCUAGCAAAUUGCCUGGUGAGCGGCCAUCCUGGAUAAAUGGUGAAUGAUGACAUCCCAGUGGUCACUUCCACACACCACAGGCUUCUCCGAAAUUGGAGUUCCAGAAGCCAUCCUUGGAUAACAUCUCUAUAAUCUCCUGGGAGAAUCCUUCUUCGAAGAAAUCCUCCAUCAGAGGAGAGUUCUUGGUCUCAGUCACAUCUGAAAGAGCAAGUGCAAAUGUCUCCUGUUCACUAAGGACUGAGUCUUGCCCUGUUGCCCAGGCUGAAGUGCUGCACGAUCUCAGCUCAACGCAACCUCUGCCUCCUGGGUUCAAGUGAUUCUCCUGCCUCAGCCUCCCGAGUAGCUGG
rnacentral:lncRNA from 10 species